rnacentral:rRNA from 1 species
UGGGAGCGAACAGGAUUAGAUACCCUGGUAGUCCAUGCCGUAAACGUUGGGCACUAGGUGUGGGGGACAUUCCACGUUUUCCGCGCCGUAGCUAACGCAUUAAGUGCCCCGCCUGGGGAGUACGGCCGCAAGGCUAAAACUCAAAGGAAUUGACGGGGGCCCGCACAAGCGGCGGAGCAUGCGGAUUAAUUCGAUGCAACGCGAAGAACCUUACCAAGGCUUGACAUACACCGGAUCGUUCCAGAGAUGGUUCUUCCCUUUUGGGCUGGUGUACAGGUGGUGCAUGGUUGUCGUCAGCUCGUGUCGUGAGAUGUUGGGUUAAGUCCCGCAACGAGCGCAACCCUCGUUCUAUGUUGCCAGCACGUGAUGGUGGGGACUCAUAGGAGACUGCCGGGGUCAACUCGGAGGAAGGUGGGGAUGACGUCAAAUCAUCAUGCCCCUUAUGUCUUGGGCUUCACGCAUGCUACAAUGGCCGGUACAAUGGGUUGCGAUACUGUGAGGUGGAGCUAAUCCCAAAAAGCCGGUCUCAGUUCGGAUUGGGGUCUGCAACUCGACCCCAUGAAGUCGGAGUCGCUAGUAAUCGCAGAUCAGCAACGCUGCGGUGAAUACGUUCCCGGGCCUUGUACACACCGCCCGUCAAGUCACGAAAGUUGGUAACACCCGAAGCCGAUGGCCUAACC